GUAUCAAUGGUGUAGCGGUAACACACACUCUGAAACUGGGAAGCGUGGAUCAUGGAUGAGUGAGUCUGGGGUUCGAAUCCCCAUCAGUGCA